CAAGAAUUUCAUAGUGGCUAUAGGAACCCAGAAAAAGAGUUUGAUUUUGUCGGCCAGUGUUACCGCUGCCCUCUUUCGUCCUUCUGAACAAACCUCUCCAUCCGUGAAUCGAAUUGGCGAAAAUUCUCACCAUGUUCCAGAAGCAUGGCCGCCAUGUUGGUUCCUCGCAACGUCGUCCUCAGCUAUCGGCAAUCAUUGGGUUCAUGCUCGGCGCAAUUAUGCUCGUAGGUCGCUUUCCUCGGUCUCCCGCGAUUGCUGUCAGCGGUCCCCUUCGAACAAUAAAUGUUUUAUCUGUUCGA